GGGCGCGUAGCUCAGCUGGUUAGAGCAACUGACUUUUAAUCAGUAGGUCCUGGGUUCGAGUCCCAGCGCGCUCACCA
rnacentral:tRNA from 3 species